AAUGACCCUUUUAGCAAGCUUUAGGCCGAUGACUCCCAAGUCAGAUGACUUUAGGGCACCAGGUUUUAAGAUACCCUUGCAGACUUAAUUACUCGAGUCAUAAAGGAUUUAGAGAGAAGUUUUAACAUUUUUAAAUGUAUACCUUGAUUAGUGCAAUGUCCCUUAUCAUACACUUAUUCAAGAAAACUGACCUCCAACUCAAAACUUUCACCCAAUUUUAUCCCGUUAGUCUAAGACAAUCCACACAUAAAUUUUCACACAUGGAAUCCAUAUUCACAUCAGCAUCUUCAUACAACUGUAAAGUCACCCCCAAACUAUACUAAAUUUGGUCUGAGGAUAAAUAAUUCAAUAUGGUUUAGGUAAAGCAUCUAAGUCCAUCUAAAUCAACCUAUCAAACAUGAAACAACUUAUUUCAUCACAAUGUCAAACUCAAUUCUAGUGCGCUUGUAAUAUCAAUUUUUGCAAGGUUGAGCUUCAAUUAAUCUAGCAUACAUCUCAUCCACAAUUCAUAAAUCAAUAUCAAAUCUCCAAUUAGAUUAGCAUAGUCAACCAAACUAUCUAACCCACACAAGCACACAACUAAAUAAAUUUUUUUUUUAUUUUGAAAAUUUUCGAUUAUUUGUCAUUUUUUUCUCUUUUUCCUUUUUUUUUUUAAAACAAACACACAAACACAUGUAAACAUAUGAAAAAUAAAAACGAAAAGUUUUUUUUUUUCACCCCCAAACUUAAAACUGACAUUGUCCUCAAUGUCAUAAAGCAUAAAUAAGCACAUAAAGGGGAUAGGGAAGAAAAGGAAGAAGUUACUCCCCAAAUUUUUCUGUUGAAUGUAUGAGGCACUAUGUGUGACGGUUGGAUAAUCUUCUUCAUCAUGCUCUCCCUUGAUCUAUGUUGGUUUGAGUGUUCCACGACGUCAUGUCCCUACACAUAGCAGUAAAUCAAAUAUUAAAAAUUAAAUAAUCUAGAACACGUGUUACUUAGUUCAAACAAUCAAACAACCAACAAUAAAG
rnacentral:lncRNA from 1 species